rnacentral:sRNA from 1 species
UACAGGGGAACCUGGAGUGACUGGAGCAUCUGGUGCCCCAGGAAACCCCGGAGAUAAAGGAGAAAGUGGUGAGAAAGGUGAACCAGGCGAGAAGGGCAUUAAAGGAGACAAAGGUGGACCACCCGGACAGAAUGGAUAAAUCAGAAAAGUGUGCUGCCAAAGUAUCUAUUCAUCACUAAUUAUAUCAAAUAAAAAAUUCAAAUUCAAUUUACAUUAAAGUUAGAUAGUUAUAGAAACUCUUUAUUGUAUGUAUUCUAUGAGUCUGAUGAUUAAAGAAGAGUAUUUUUAAUAGUGCUACUCAGACCUGACUGAGUACCUUUUUUAUCAUUUAGUAUUUUGAUACAUUUUUUUUUGUAUCUGUAACAUAAAUAAAAAUUUCAAUAUAAACACAAGAUUAAGGGAUGAAUAUUACCUGAAUAAAAAAAA